GACGAACGCUGGCGGCGUGCUUAACACAUGCAAGUCGAACGAGAAACCCCUGCUUUUUUUCGGCGCUAAAGUGUCGAACGGGUGUGUUACCCGAGAGUAACCUGACCCUGGAUUAGGGUUACCUUCAGAAAACUGUGGCUACUGCCGGCUGGGAGCUCUUGCUGCAUGGUGGGGGCUGGAAAGUUUAGGAGGUGGGGGAUGGAUUCGCGGCUUAUCUGCUUGUUGGUGGGGUUGUGGCUUACCAAGGCUUUGACGGGUACCCGGCCUGAGAGGGGAACCGGACACAUUGGGACGGAGAUAAGGCCCAGACUCCUACGGGAGGCAGCAGUGGAGUAUAUUGCACAAUGGGCGGGAGCCAGAUGCAGCGACGCCGCGUGGGGUAUGACGGCCUGCAGGUUGUAAACCGCAUUCGCCUGUGACGAAGAGUGAGUGACGGUAAUGGGUAAAGAAGCACCGGCUAAAUACGUG
rnacentral:rRNA from 1 species